rnacentral:rRNA from 1 species
CAUGCAGUCGAGCGGAACGAGUUAACUGACCCUUCGGGUGACGUUAACGGCGUCGAGCGGCGGACGGGUGAGUAAUGCCUGGGAAAUUGCCCUGAUGUGGGGGAUAACCAUUGGAAACGAUGGCUAAUACCGCAUAAUGCCUUCGGGCCAAAGAGGGGGACCUUCGGGCCUCUCGCGUCAGGAUAUGCCCAGGUGGGAUUAGCUAGUUGGUGAGGUAAUGGCUCACCAAGGCGACGAUCCCUAGCUGGUCUGAGAGGAUGAUCAGCCACACUGGAACUGAGACACGGUCCAGACUCCUACGGGAGGCAGCAGUGGGGAAUAUUGCACAAUGGGCGCAAGCCUGAUGCAGCCAUGCCGCGUGUGUGAAGAAGGCCUUCGGGUUGUAAAGCACUUUCAGCAGUGAGGAAGGCGGAUACGUUAAUAGCGUAUUCGUUUGACGUUAGCUGCAGAAGAAGCACCGGCCAACUCCGUGCCAGCAGCCGCGGUAAUACGGAGGGUGCGAGCGUUAAUCGGAAUUACUGGGCGUAAAGCGCAUGCAGGUGGUUCGUUAAGUCAGAUGUGAAAGCCCGGGGCUCAACCUCGGAACUGCAUUUGAAACUGGCGGACUAGAGUACUGUAGAGGGGGGUAGAAUUUCAGGUGUAGCGGUGAAAUGCG